UUUGUACUGGCCAAUUAGGGAACAAGAGCGGACUUUCCCGUGUUGUGAUUGGAUCGUAGGACCAUGCUGCUAGAAGAAACAGGAAGUGUCAUUUGUUUUUCACAGGAACGAAGAUUUAACGGUGCCCUAUAGUCGGAGUAUGAAAAAGGCAUCAGUUGGCAGCGAGAUGAAGAAGCAAAGGGAGAGCCAGUGCACUCAGAAGACCAUCUCAUUGCUGAGCCCCCUGGGGACGAUCCAAGUCAGUGGAUGUGAGAAUGGUGUGCACACCAUCCAGAUCCUAAUGGAUGUCGCACCUGCUGAAAGGAGCAGCGCGGCCCCCCUGAGCUGCGUGGUCACCGAUAGCCCAGCAGAAACGAGCCCCGAGAUGCAGCGCUGCGUUGAAUGGCUCCAGGCGUACUUCACCGAGCCGCAGACCGCUGGGAGUCUCCCGCUCCCUGCCUUUCACCACCCCGCCCUGCAAGGAGAUGCCUUCACCAGCCGCGUGCUGCAAGUACUUCUGAGGGACGUGAAGUUUGGAGAGACGGUCUCGUACAAGCGCCUCGCCGAGAUGGCGGGAAACCCCAGAGCGGUGCGGGCGGUGGGAGGGGCCAUGAGGAGGAAUCCGAUAACCAGUACGGAGGAAAGUCUUGAUAAGAGUGGCAACAUAUGGAUGCGGUAAGCUUCGCUUUCUUUUGAUUGUGUGACCCCGUGACCCAUGCUUCUGUUUGAGAGCAAGGCAGCCACAUGGUACGGUGGGGGUCUGUCAGGCUCUGGUUAUGGGGCAUUAUUGACCCAGGAUUUAUAAAUAUUUAAUGCACACAUUAAGAUCAUGGUGGAGGGUGGCCAUUAGAGUUCUCCAAUAAAAGAGGCUCUCACGAUGAUUGAAUGGUGUGGCAGAGCUAGUGGCUGUUUGUUGGGUACAAAGAAACCUGCUGAGACUAUAUAUACUGUACCUCCAGCCUGCCUGGCAGGCUUCAGAGCUUUUAAAGCACCCAGCAACUGAGCUAACUUGUCAUUUUUUAUAUAUACAUUAGGUUUUUUACCCUCUGAUUUUAGUCUUUAAAAAGAGGUUUAGUUAAAUUGUUAUAAGGAAUUGAUAUGUAGCCUACAGUGGAUAAUUCUUGGCAUUUUUUUCUGGUGUAAAUCAAGAUUGGAUGAUCCCAGAGCUCAAGGAGUAAUAGAAGAGUGGCAAAACCCAAACUAGUGUCCAAUGCCCAAAACAUGUUAGUGGUUAAGGCAAAUCGUAUUUUAUUAUCACAUUUUAUUAGGUGGUUAGAAAGUGAUUAUUUACAAAGGAAAUAAAGGUUGGAGGCGGUGAGCCACCAGUGACCUUCCUGAGUGAAACAUGGACUGAGAACAUGUCAGGUUUUUCCAAACUCAGUAACGACCUCAAAGAACAGUAAGGCAGGGUAAAAAUAAAUAAAACAGAGUUUGUAUAAACCCUAUUUAUUUGUGCUAUUUUUACUUUUUAAACAAUUUUAUUUUGAAUAGUUGUUUAAACUGGACACACCUUACAUCACGAGAAAAAUUAUUUUCCAAAAUAGACUCCGAAAUAACUGUGAUUGUUGCAGAGCUAAAUUAUUCCAAAAAUAUAUUUUGUAAUAAAUCUAAAGGAUGUUUAUUAGCUGUCAGUAGCAACACUUAUUGCAAAUAAAAUAGCAAAACAUAAAAAUCAGUAAAAACGGUUAGAGUAUGUUUUGUAUUAGACAGGUAACUCCAUUCUCCAUGUAACUAAUCACCAGCUUCACUUUAAACAACCCUCAAAUAUAAUGCAGUUCCAACUAAUCUGGUUUUACACUGAUAAAGAUGUUAAUGGAGUUAUUUACAGCAGGUACGUAAUUAACUGCCUAAAAUAAUUUAACAGAGCUUCUCCUCAGCAAUCCCUAUUCAUGUUUUGUGCAUCUACUUUCUUUGCUGCAUUGAUUAAUAUCGAGUUUGCUUGUUUGUUUUUAUUUUAACCCCCUUCCACCUCCACCCCCUAAAAAAAAAAAACACAAAGCAGAAUGCAACGUGAUGGAUCGAAACUUGUGUAUCCGACACAGAUAACGCAGGGAGACAGUUGUGUGCACGUUGUUAUCAGAUGCACUGGGUUAUCAGGGAAAUUAUUUGAAGCCUGCAGAAAAUGAAAUUGCUGCUUUCGGUGUGUCUGUCCUUUGCACUAUCAGCAGCUCCUGGUGGAUCUCCUGCACCGCCGAGAUCCGCGCAUGCUGGCUGGCGUAAUAAGCCGCUGAUAUGCUGAUUGCCACUCGGGUUGCUGUCAUUUAAUUGUGCAUUAAAGGCAGACGUGGCCUCGGACAAUGGCGCCUUGAUGAGAAAUUGACAUUUUGUGACCUGCGCUCCGCAAGCACUCAGGAUGCCAGAUAAGAUGCUCAGUUGUUUUUAAGGAGAACCACUGUUCUUCCCUCAAACACUUCUAUCCUCCUGUUUGACCCACUUGAUGAGUAUAGAUUUCACAACGCCCCCCUUGCCGUCCCCCCUUUCAGCACUCAAACUAUAAGAGGUUCAAAACGAUACCAGGCCUUAUAGACAAAGGAUAACCUUGCUCUUUCAAUGUAUCGAUUCUUUAUUAACUAGGUGGCUUAAUGCAAUGAAAUGAGGGAUUUGAAUGAGCCCCAUUUGGGGUGCUUUGAAUAAAAAAAGCUUGCACUGUUUAUGAAUGACUACAAUGAACCUUUGAAGCACCACAGAUGCAGGAUGUGCUCACACAGAGACCAGUAGAAACAAAUUCAGAAUGCUUCGCUGAAAGAAUAUGAGGAUAGAGCAGUUUUCAUCUUUUUUAUGGAUGUUACACUUUUUCCACAGGUUCAAACAGUUAUCUCCAUAGCAAUGUCUAAAUACUACAUCUUACAGAUGAAUCACAGGUUUUGUCUACUGUCUUUUCUCUUGUUUUUUUUUUUUUUUGUUGUUGUUGUUUUUUGUAUUUGUUUGUUUCCUUGUUCCUGAUUGUCAGUUUAUCUGCCAUCCAAACUGGGCUUAAAACUGAAGAAGUCCACAGUUGAGGGGCUAUUAUGUUUUUUUUACUGAAAAUUUUAAUAAAACAUCACUUAGUCAUUUCUGUUUCCAUUCCAAAUGCUGACAUUUUAAAAUUUUCUUCCCUGUAAACACAUGUAAGCUAUGUGGCAGAGUCUUAAGUGGUGAGUAAAAAUGACUUCUAUACAUUCUACAAAACAGGAAAGAAAAAAAAUACAACCACAAAUGGAGUUUUUUUUUAUCUCCAAGGUUGUCCCUCAUGCACAUUAGUCUCUAUUGGAUCUUAACAACUAUCAUAUGGGUCACAAACAAUUUAUUUGACAAUACAACCAACAAAGUUUUCUCCAAAAUGGUCUGUAUAGAUAAUUUAAAAUCAAUAUAAAAAUAAACAAUGAAGUUUGACUUCCCUUUUAAAAAAAAUGGACAGAGAGUCUCGACGGUGUAACACAAAAAGUUUCGAGGAUACACAUGAAAUAUAUGCACAUUGCAUUUCAUCAAAUACAAAAAAGAAAAACAAAUGAAGGCAACAGUUCUUGGCUGAAUUAUCUGUGCUGCAUCACUAUAUUAAGGGCAUGACGAUUAAUACAUACAUAAUGAAAAGCAAUAUACAAAAUUUCAGAGAUAAAUACAUUAUUUAUAGUUGAUAUGUUACAAAAUUUCCUUCAGUGAGCGCAAGUGUGUAUUUGAACAGAAAAAUGACAAUGACCGACUAUAUUCCUACAUUCUCAAUGGGUUUUAAUUUUUUUGUUUUUAAACAUUUUUUUGUUGAUCUAAAAGAACAUGAAAAAGACAGAUGUAUAAAUAUUUAGCACAAGUUUGGCAAUAUCACAAUAGUCUACAAUUUUUUUAACCACAUAUAAAACACAUAAGGGAGUUGGAGCCAAAAGGAGACUGCUCCUCAUCAACAAGAAACAGACUUCACAGUAGCCUAGGAAUGCAUUAAUAUACAGUGCUAGCAAAAAAGUUGAAAAAACAUGGCAAAACACACUUGCUUAAAAGGAAGCUCUAGACGUGGAAGUACAUCAUAUUCAUCAACAGAGUAGUGUUUUUGUACACAUCAGUGUGCUUGUUGACGCGGAGGAUUUUUUUUUUUUUCACUUUUGAAGAUGAUUUCUAGCUACAAUAAAUUACAAAAUUUAAGUUAAAAUGCAGGAAUGAAACAUGAUACAACAUCACCCACCCAUCACCCCCCCACACCCUGGCCCUCCCAAAAAAGAAAUCCUGUUUUUACUUCAUAUUUAUUGUACUUUUAUGAUCGGUUUUUGCUAAAUUAUAUAUUUCAUAUAUUUUUCCAGUUGAAAUUCAAACUGUCUUGGCCCCUGUGUAGUUUUCUCACACAUAAAAAUACAAAAGUCACAUUAUAAAGACGCACAACUGUUGUGAAUCUAUUAAAAGAGAGUUGAAACAAAAAAAAAGAAAGAAAAAAAAACUGAGGCAAACAAGUUUGUUGGCAAAUGGACUGUACAUCAGUGUUUUUACUUUACAACCAGAUGGUGAGUCCACAGAGUCCCUUCCAGUACUGAGAGUGGCUGUCCGAGGCUGAAGCUCAACUCGACAGCUCUCAGCACGCCGCUCCUGCUAUGUGUGAUAUUUCUCCUGCCAUCGGGGUAAUGGCAAACAGUGGCCCAGACUCCCAGGAGAGCCGGCUGUGGUGACGACGGAGCAACAACACGGUCAUUUCCCACAAUGCCGCAACUCGGCUCAGUCUCCCACUCGGAUUCAUUUCUGUGACUUCCUUCCUUUCUGCACCCCCUUCGUCUCUUUAUCAUCGACUCAAGUUUUGCCUUCACGUCAUUAUCCAAUAGAGAUUAGGCAAGAUCAAAAGUAGCUCCCUGUUAUUGCGCUAAGACCAUCUGCUUUGGAUAUCAUUAGCAACUGUAGCUCGCCCUAAGAGUUUAUAUAUUCAGUAUUUUCACAUGUUUUAACAAUUAGGCAACUAGUGAAGUGCUAGGAUGAUGUAUUAGUGUAUUGCUCGCAGUAUAUUUGUAGAGUCAUGGUUGAAAUGCUUUUAAGUUUGCCAGCGCAGAUGAUGGCAAGGCAUUGCUCAUUAAUUUCUGCACAACAUGUAUUAAUAAGUAUGAACGUGUAGCAAGAUGAACUUUAAUUUCCCACUUCAUUAAGCCCAAUGUUAUUAAUCUUGGGGCACGCGCUACAGCUAAGCUUGUUUUCAAUGCAAUCAUGUUGGUCAUGACACACGCACAAAACCUAAUAAACAUAAUUACUAAAACAA